rnacentral:rRNA from 1 species
GACGAACGCUGGCGGCGUGCCUAAUACAUGCAAGUCGAGCGAAGUUUUUCUGGUGCUUGCACCGGAGAAACUUAGCGGCGAACGGGUGAGUAACACGUAAAGAACCUGCCUCAUAGACUGGGACAACUAUUGGAAACGAUAGCUAAUACCGGAUAACAGCAUUAACUGCAUGGUUGAUGUUUAAAAGUUGGUUUUGCUAACACUAUGAGAUGGCUUUGCGGUGCAUUAGCUAGUUGGUGGGGUAAAGGCCUACCAAGGCGACGAUGCAUAGCCGACCUGAGAGGGUGAUCGGCCACACUGGGACUGAGACACGGCCCAGACUCCUACGGGAGGCAGCAGUAGGGAAUCUUCCGCAAUGGGCGAAAGCCUGACGGAGCAACGCCGCGUGAGUGAAGAAGGAUUUCGGUUCGUAAAGCUCUGUUGUUAGGGAAGAAUGAUUGUGUAGUAACUAUACACAGUAGAGACGGUACCUAACCAGAAAGCCACGGCUAACUACGUG